CUUUCACAUGUGUCCUAAAAGAGAAUGGUUUAGUGAGUUUGAAAAUGUAAGUGGAGGCCAAGUGUUAAUGGGUAAUCACAUAUCUUGUCAGGUUAAAGGAAUAGGAACAAUCACCACAAGGUUGGAUGGUAAUAAUGAAUUGAUCUUAGAUAAGACCAGUUAUGUUCCUGACCUACAAAGAAAUUUGAUAUCCUUAGGUGUCCUAGAUGACCUGAACUACAAUAUUGUGAUUAACAUGGGAUACAUUAAGAUCUUGAGGGGCUCUCAACUUGUUGUCGAAGCCCCCAAGAAACAUGGGCUUUACAUUUUACAUAUUCAAACUUUUUUGACUCCACAUCAAUAGCAAUUUCUGCCCCCAAUGAUAAGUCACAAUUAUGGCAUAAAAGAUUGGGCCAUAUUAUUUUUCCUUUUAAUCAUAGAUGAUUUUUCUAGGAAAAACUGGCUCUUUUUGCUUAAACAUAAGUUUGACACUUUUAAUGCUUUUAAAGAAUGAAAAAUCUUGAUUGAGAAUUAAACAAAUAAAAAGAUUAAAGUGUUGAAGACUGAUAAUGGACUUGAGUUUUGCAAUUAUGAAUUUGAUGAAUUGUGCAAAGUGCAUGGUAUUCUAAGACACAGAACAGUGACACACUCCCCACAACAAAAUGGCUUGGCCGAAAGAAUGAACCGAACUAUUCUUGAGAGAGUUAGAUGCAUGUUAUUAGGUUUUGGUCUUCCCAAGUUAUUUUGGGGGGAAGCUGCAAAAACUGCUAGUUAUCUCAUAAAUAGAAGCCCCGCUAGUGCUAUACAAUUUAAAUCCCCUGAAGAAGUUUGGACAUAAAAACCUGUAGAUUUGAGUAAUCUAAAAAUAUUUGGGUGUCCAGCCUUUACACAUCAAUCUGAAGGGAAACUUGAACCUAAGGCCCUUAAAUGUGUUUUCUUGGGCUAUGGUGAUGGGGUAUAAACUUUGGGUAAGAGAACCCAAAUGUUAUAAGAUCAUUAUAAGUAGAAAUGUGGUGCUUAAUGAAUCUGAUCUGCCUUGUUUGAAAUUUGAAAAUAACACUACUAAAUCUGGUCAGACUGAAAAUAAAGGAAGGGAAAUUGAAAUUAAGGCAGAGCAAGUUAAUAAUGAUAAUCUACAACAUGAUCAGAUUGAAAAUAGUGAAAUUGAGGCUCAAAAUGAUGAAGAAACUGAUCAAAAUGAAUCUGAUUUUGAGGUUAAUCAACCUUUAAAUGAUUAUCAACUUGCUAGAGAUAGAGAAAGGAGAGAAAUAAGACCACCCGUGAGAUUUGAUGAUGAAAUAUCUCUUCUCACUGUUCAGGGCUUCAUUGAGAAUGAACUCGAAUCCUAUAAAGAUGCUAUGAGUAGCAAGGACUCUAAGCAUUGGCUAGAAGCAAUGCAUGAUGAGAUGGAAUCGUUGAGAAAGAAUAAAAUUUGGACUUGG
rnacentral:lncRNA from 1 species